CCAAUAUAUCCAAAUAUCAUCACCGGCCCAGAUGUCAUUCACUCCUUUGAACUGUGCUGGUAGCAGUAAGGUGUCAUCAUUUGAGAUGGUCACAGUAUCCAAUACACUGAAGUCACAGGACUCAAAUUUCAUACAUGUUCACAGCACUUUAGAGGAAUUUCAUCUUUCAGCUCUCUUGGCCCCGGGAGUGCUCGGUCUCUGAUCAGCAGGGGCAUUUUCUCUAUAUAAGAAGAAAAUGGAGACUCCCUACCCACCCGAUGUAUUUUGUCGGACAGUUUUCUGUACAUUGCAGUCACCAAUAUAUCCAAAUAUCAUCACCGGCCCAGACGACGUUCACUCCUUUGAACUGUGCUGGUAGCAGUAAGGUGUCAUCAUUUGAGAUGGUCACAGUAUCCAAUACACUGAAGUCACAGGACUCAAAUUUCAUACAUGUUCACAGGUAGGUGUAUAGUCUUUGAAAUUACCACAAUUGACUAAUUCUGAGACAGGUAAGUAUGUAAGUAUAGGAAUGAGAGCACCAAAUCCCCGGAUGCACACAUGGCUUUGUUUGUUAUGGAAGAUUAAACAGAAUACUGAAUGGGUAGGCGUUACCCCAUUGGCUGAAAUCAGCACUUUAGAGGAAUUUCAUCUUUCAGCUCUCUUGGCCCCGGGAGUGCUCGGUCUCUGAUCAGCAGGGGCAUUUUCUCUAUAUAAGAAGAAAAUGGAGACUCCCUACCCACCCGAUGUAUUUUGUCGGACAGUUUUCUGUACAUUGCAGUCACCAAUAUAUCCAAAUAUCAUCACCGGCCCAGACGUCAUUCACUCCUUUGAACUGUGCUGGUAGCAGUAAGGUGUCAUCAUUUGAGAUGGUCACAGUAUCCAAUACACUGAAGUCACAGGACUCAAAUUUCAUACAUGUUCACAGGUAGGUGUAUAGUCUUUGAAAUUACCACAAUUGACUAAUUCUGGGACAGGUAA